UAGCAUAUCAAUAAGCGGAGGAAAAGAAACCAACAGGGAUUGCCUCAGUAACGGCGAGUGAAGCGGCAACAGCUCAAAUUUGAAAUCUGGCCUCGGCCCGAGUUGUAAUUUGUAGAGGAAGCUUUUGGUGCGGCACCGACCGAGUCCCCUGGAACGGGGCGCCAUAGAGGGUGAUAGCCCCGUAUGGUUGGACGCCUAUCCUCUGUAAAGCUCCUUCGACGAGUCGAGUAGUUUGGGAAUGCUGCUCUAAAUGGGAGGUAGAUUCCUUCUAAAGCUAAAUACCGGCCAGAGACCGAUAGCGCACAAGUAGAGUGAUCGAAAGAUGAAAAGCACUUUGAAAAGAGGGUUAAAUAGCACGUGAAAUUGUUGAAAGGGAAGCGCCUGUGACCAGACUUGCGCCCCGUCGAUCAUCCGGGGUUCUCCCCGGUGCGCUCGGCGGGGCUCAGGCCAGCAUCGGUUCUCGCGGGGGGACAAAGGCUCCGGGAACGUAGCUCCUCCGGGAGUGUUAUAGCCCGGGGCGUAAUGCCCUCGCGGGGACCGAGGACCGCGCUUCGGCAAGGAUGCUGGCGUAAUGGUCACCGGCGACCCGUCUUGAAACACGGACCAAGGAGUCAAGGUUUUGCGCGAGUGUCUGGGUGUAAAACCCGCACGCGUAAUGAAAGUGAACGUAGGUGAGAGCUUCGGCGCAUCAUCGACCGAUCCUGAUGUAUUCGGAUGGAUUUGAGUAGGAGCGUUAAGCCUUGGACCCGAAAGAUGGUGAACUAUGCUUGGAUAGGGUGAAGCCAGAGGAAACUCUGGUGGAGGCUCGCAGCGGUUCUGACGUGCAAAUCGAUCGUCAAAUCUGAGCAUGGGGGCGAAAGACUAAUCGAACCAUCUAGUAGCUGGUUACCGCC
rnacentral:rRNA from 1 species